rnacentral:rRNA from 1 species
GGAGUGGCAGACGGGUGAGUAACGCGUGGGAAUCUACCCAAUUCUUCGGAACAACUGAGGGAAACUUCAGCUAAUACCGGAUGUGCCCUUCGGGGGAAAGAUUUAUCGGAAUUGGAUGAGCCCGCGUUGGAUUAGCUAGUUGGUGGGGUAAAGGCCUACCAAGGCGACGAUCCAUAGCUGGUCUGAGAGGAUGAUCAGCCACACUGGGACUGAGACACGGCCCAGACUCCUACGGGAGGCAGCAGUGGGGAAUAUUGGACAAUGGGCGCAAGCCUGAUCCAGCCAUGCCGCGUGAGUGAUGAAGGUCUUAGGAUUGUAAAGCUCUUUCAC